UCGUAGGUGGUUGAAAAAGUUGGUGGUGAAAUCCCAUAGCUUAACUCUGGAACUGCCAUCAAAACUUUUCAGCUAGAGUAUGAUAGAGGAAAGCAGAAUUUCUAGUGUAGAGGUGAAAUUCGUAGAUAUUAGAAAGAAUACCAAUUGCGAAGGCAGCUUUCUGGAUCAUUACUGACGCUGAGGAACGAAAGCAUGGGUAGCGAAGAGGAUUAGAUACCCUCGUAGUCCAUGCCGUAAACGAUGUGUGUUAGACGUUGGAAAUUUAUUUUCAGUGUCGCAGCGAAAGCGAUAAACACACCGCCUGGGGAGUACGACCGCAAGGUUAAAACUCAAAUGAAUUGACGGGGACCCGCACAAGUAGUGGAGCAUGUGGUUUAAUUCGAAGAUACGCGCAGAACCUUACCAACACUUGACAUGUUCGUCGCGACUCUAAGAGAUUAGAGUUUUCGGUUCGGCCGGACGAAACACAGGUGCUGCAUGGCUGUCGUCAGCUCGUGUCGUGAGAUGUUGGGUUAAGUCCCGCAACGAGCGCAACCCUCACUUUUAGUUGCCAUCAUUAAGUUGGGCACUCUGAAAGAACUGCCAGUGAUAAGCUGGAGGAAGGUGGGGAUGACGUCAAGUCCUCAUGGCCCUUACGUGUUGGGCUACACACGUGCUACAAUGGUAUCUACAACAGGAAGCAAGACUGCGAAGUUAAGCAAAUCCUUAAAAGAUACCUCAGUUCGGAUUGCACUCUGCAACUCGAGUGCAUGAAGCUGGAAUUACUAGUAAUCGUGGAUCAGCGUGCCACGGUGAAUGCGUUCCCGGGUCUUGUACACACCGCC
rnacentral:rRNA from 1 species